rnacentral:tRNA from 1 species
GGUUGGGUUUGUCUUUUGUGUAUAUGUUACAGACUGUAAAUCUGCCGUCAUCGACUUCGAAGGUUCGAAUCCUUCCCCCACCACCA